rnacentral:rRNA from 1 species
UACGUAGGGGGCAAGCGUUGUCCGGAUUUAUUGGGCGUAAAGAGCGUGUAGGCGGUUUGGUAGGUCCGCUGUGAAAACUCGAGGCUCAACCUCGAGACGCCGGUGGAAACCAUCAGGCUAGAGUCCGGAAGAGGAGAGUGGAAUUCCUGGUGUAGCGGUGAAAUGCGCAGAUAUCAGGAAGAACACCCGUGGCUAAGGCGGCUCUCUAGUACGGUACUGACGCUGAGACGCGAAAACGUGGGGAGCGAACAGG